CAGUCAGAGGCGAUGAAGGACGUACUAACUUGCGAUAAGCGCAGAUAAGGCAGUAAGAGCCGUUUGAGUCUGCGAUUUCCGAAUGGGGAAACCCAACUGCAUAAGCAGUUACUGUUAACUGAAUACAUAGGUUAACAGAGCAAACCGGGGGAACUGAAACAUCUAAGUACCCCGAGGAGAAGAAAUCAACCGAGAUUCCGGUAGUAGCGGCGAGCGAACCUGGAUUAGCCCUUAAGCACUCGGUGAAGUAGGUGAACAAGCUGGAAAGCUUGGCGAUACAGGGUGAUAGCCCCGUAACCGACGCUUCAUCGAGCGUGAAAUCGAGUAGGGCGGGACACGUGAUAUCCUG
rnacentral:rRNA from 1 species